rnacentral:rRNA from 1 species
UACAGAGGGGGCAAGCGUUGUUCGGAAUUACUGGGCGUAAAGGGCGCGUAGGCGGCCAACUAAGUCAGACGUGAAAUCCCUCGGCUUAACCGGGGAACUGCGUCUGAUACUGGAUGGCUUGAGUUUGGGAGAGGGAUGCGGAAUUCCAGGUGUAGCGGUGAAAUGCGUAGAUAUCUGGAGGAACACCGGUGGCGAAGGCGGCAUCCUGGACCAACACUGACGCUGAGUGAGCGAAAGCCAGGGGAGCAAACGGG